rnacentral:rRNA from 1 species
UGGGGAAUUUUGGACAAUGGGCGCAAGCCUGAUCCAGCCAUGCCGCGUGUGUGAAGAAGGCCUUCGGGUUGUAAAGCACUUUCGGACGGAACGAAAUCGCGCGGGUGAAUAUCCCGCGUGGAUGACGGUACCGUAAGAAGAAGCACCGGCUAACUACGUGCCAGCAGCCGCGGUAAUACGUAGGGUGCGAGCGUUAAUCGGAAUUACUGGGCGUAAAGUGUGCGCAGGCGGCUGAGCAAGUCGAGUGUGAAAUCCCCGGGCUUAACUUGGGAAUUGCGCUCGAAACUACUUGGCUGGAGUGUGGCAGAGGAAGGUGGAAUUCCACGUGUAGCGGUGAAAUGCGUAGAGAUGUGGAGGAACACCGAUGGCGAAGGCAGCCUUCUGGGCCAACACUGACGCUCAUGCACGAAAGCGUGGGGAGCGAAACAGGAUUAGAUACCCUGGUAGUCCACGCCCUAAACGAUGAUGACUAGUUGUUGGGGGAGUUAAA